rnacentral:rRNA from 1 species
UCCUGACUGACCGAUAGUGAACCAGUACCGUGAGGGAAAGGCGAAAAGAACCCCGGCGAGGGGAGUGAAAAAGAACCUGAAACCGUGUACGUACAAGCAGUGGGAGCACGCUUAGGCGUGUGACUGCGUACCUUUUGUAUAAUGGGUCAGCGACUUAUAUUCUGUAGCAAGGUUAACCGAAUAGGGGAGCCGAAGGGAAACCGAGUCUUAACUGGGCGUUAAGUUGCAGGGUAUAGACCCGAAACCCGGUGAUCUAGCCAUGGGCAGGUUGAAGGUUGGGUAACACUAACUGGAGGACCGAACCGACUAAUGUUGAAAAAUUAGCGGAUGACUUGUGGCUGGGGGUGAAAGGCCAAUCAAACCGGGAGAUAGCUGGUUCUCCCCGAAAGCUAUUUAGGUAGCGCCUCGUGAAUUCAUCUCCGGGGGUAGAGCACUGUUUCGGCAAGGGGGUCAUCCCGACUUACCAACCCGAUGCAAACUGCGAAUACCGGAGAAUGUUAUCACGGGAGACACACGGCGGGUGCUAACGUCCGUCGUGAAGAGGGAAACAACCCAGACCGCCAGCUAAGGUCCCAAAGUCAUGGUUAAGUGGGAAACGAUGUGGGAAGGCCCAGACAGCCAGGAUGUUGGCUUAGAAGCAGCCAUCAUUUAAAGAAAGCGUAAUAGCUCACUGGUCGAGUCGGCCUGCGCGGAAGAUGUAACGGGGCUAAACCAUGCACCGAAGCUGCGGCAGCGACGCUUAUGCGUUGUUGGGUAGGGGAGCGUUCUGUAAGCCUGCGAAGGUGUGCUGUGAGGCAUGCUGGAGGUAUCAGAAGUGCGAAUGCUGACAUAAGUAACGAUAAAGCGGGUGAAAAGCCCGCUCGCCGGAAGACCAAGGGUUCCUGUCCAACGUUAAUCGGGGCAGGGUGAGUCGACCCCUAAGGCGAGGCCGAAAGGCGUAGUCGAUGGGAAACAGGUUAAUAUUCCUGUACUUGGUGUUACUGCGAAGGGGGGACGGAGAAGGCUAUGUUGGCCGGGCGACGGUUGUCCCGGUUUAAGCGUGUAGGCUGGUUUUCCAGGCAAAUCCGGAAAAUCAAGGCUGAGGCGUGAUGACGAGGCACUACGGUGCUGAAGCAACAAAUGCCCUGCUUCCAGGAAAAGCCUCUAAGCAUCAGGUAACAUCAAAUCGUACCCCAAACCGACACAGGUGGUCAGGUAGAGAAUACCAAGGCGCUUGAGAGAACUCGGGUGAAGGAACUAGGCAAAAUGGUGCCGUAACUUCGGGAGAAGGCACGCUGAUAUGUAGGUGAAGUCCCUCGCGGAUGGAGCUGAAAUCAGUCGAAGAUACCAGCUGGCUGCAACUGUUUAUUAAAAACACAGCACUGUGCAAACACGAAAGUGGACGUAUACGGUGUGACGCCUGCCCGGUGCCGGAAGGUUAAUUGAUGGGGUCAGCGCAAGCGAAGCUCUUGAUCGAAGCCCCGGUAAACGGCGGCCGUAACUAUAACGGUCCUAAGGUAGCGAAAUUCCUUGUCGGGUAAGUUCCGACCUGCACGAAUGGCGUAAUGAUGGCCAGGCUGUCUCCACCCGAGACUCAGUGAAAUUGAACUCGCUGUGAAGAUGCAGUGUACCCGCGGCAAGACGGAAAGACCCCGUGAACCUUUACUAUAGCUUGACACUGAACAUUGAGCCUUGAUGUGUAGGAUAGGUGGGAGGCUUUGAAGUGUGGACGCCAGUCUGCAUGGAGCCGACCUUGAAAUACCACCCUUUAAUGUUUGAUGUUCUAACGUUGACCCGUAAUCCGGGUUGCGGACAGUGUCUGGUGGGUAGUUUGACUGGGGCGGUCUCCUCCUAAAGAGUAACGGAGGAGCACGAAGGUUGGCUAAUCCUGGUCGGACAUCAGGAGGUUAGUGCAAUGGCAUAAGCCAGCUUGACUGCGAGCGUGACGGCGCGAGCAGGUGCGAAAGCAGGUCAUAGUGAUCCGGUGGUUCUGAAUGGAAGGGCCAUCGCUCAACGGAUAAAAGGUACUCCGGGGAUAACAGGCUGAUACCGCCCAAGAGUUCAUAUCGACGGCGGUGUUUGGCACCUCGAUGUCGGCUCAUCACAUCCUGGGGCUGAAGUAGGUCCCAAGGGUAUGGCUGUUCGCCAUUUAAAGUGGUACGCGAGCUGGGUUUAGAACGUCGUGAGACAGUUCGGUCCCUAUCUGCCGUGGGCGCUGGAGAACUGAGGGGGGCUGCUCCUAGUACGAGAGGACCGGAGUGGA